rnacentral:lncRNA from 1 species
CUGGUCUUUGGUUCCUUUUUUUUUUUUUUCCUUCCCUAGCAAACAGCUAGAAGCAUCUGGGGGUCUGACACCUUUUAAACUUUUGUGACUGACAAAAAGCUGCAUCCAUUCCUCUAUGCUAUAAAGUCUAUGAAAGAGUUUAAGGGAAGAAAGACUUCCCAAAAGAUUGUUUAAUAAUAUUUCCCCUACAAUAUUACAUUAGAGGAGGUUUGGGUCCUGUGGAAGCAGGCUUUGAAACCCCUUAUCCUGAGUAUUUCAACGAAUGUCGCAACUAUACAUGUAGAGUUAUAUUAGCAGUUUCUCCACUCUGCCAUGUACACCUGUCGAUCCUAAAAAGAGGAGCUGCUGAAACCUGAGAAGGCUCUACAGAAUAGUAUAUAGAGCUCUGUCAACCACCAUCCCACUUACUCUUUUUUCACCUGGCUAGUCCUUAGCUUCACGCACAUCUCUGGUUUUGUACAGCAGCCUGGGUGGAGUCCAGUCAAUGAGAGAACAGACACACAGCUGUUACCACCCAUAAGCAGAAAGGUAAAGAAUUCCUCUCUGCAUGGCAGCCCAGGGAUAUGGUUAGCAAGGCACCUGCUACUUGCCGCUGCCUCUUCUUUACUGAUCAAUCAGCUGACUGCCUAGAUGCCAUAGGAAGAAAAUUUAGAUAUGUUAGCUUGCUUUCAGACUAUGUGUUUCAGUAAAUUUGACUGAAGCAUGUAGAAGUAAAUGCAUUUUUAAAAAGGAUAAGAAACAAAACCACCACACUGGCACUCUGAAAAAGACUAAAAAAGAAUCCCUGUUAUUAAAAAAUGAGAUUUGAAAUUGGGUACUUUUUUAGGAAGUAUUAAUACAGCUCACAAGGCAUGAGAGAGGAAGUACUUAAAAGAGCCUGAUUUUUAAGAAGAUAACCCUAUAAUCUAUUAUGGCCAUCUCAUACUGCAUAUGGGCACUAGGAAGGGCCAGAAACAGAAGAUCGCAAUAUCACAUCCACCGGAAUAGCCCAGCACAAAGGCACCAAACAGAAGCUACACUGUGGGACUCAAGGUCACUUUCUGGCUCCCAUGCCUGAGUGCAUACUCGCUGUGUCUGGGCCUAAGUCAGGAUAGAAUCCAGGUAUACCCCAUUCCCACAGUCCCUGUGCCAAGUCCAAGCUGCCGUCCCAGCUGCCUGCAACCAACCUGGACAAACAGUCAAAGUCCUAAAAUU